GUUUUUCAAAACAUGUCUUUUUGAUUUUAAUUUAAAGUCGUCUCUGCCCAAUGAUUUAAUUUAAAUGGCUGCAGUAUUUUGACUGUACAAAGGUAGCAUAAUCAAUAGUUUUUUAAUUGGAAACUGGAAUGAAAGAGUUAAUAAAAUAUAAUCUUUAUUUAAUUAAAGAGUUGAAUUUAAAAUUUAAGUUAAAAUUCUUAAAUUAAUUUAUGGGACGAGAAGACCCUAUAGAAUUUUAUAUUUAAAUUUAUAAAAUAUUUAGUUUUAAAUUUUUUAUUAAUUUAAAUAUUUUAUUGGGAGGAUAAUUAAAUUUAUUUAACUUUAAUAUUUUUUAUUACAAUAAUUUUUGUAUUUAUGAUUUUAUUAUUAUAAUUAUUAGAUUAAAUUACCUUAGGGAUAACAGCGUUAUAUUUUUGGAGAGUUCUUAUUGAUAAAAAUGUUUGCGACCUCUGGGGG
rnacentral:rRNA from 1 species